CCACUUUCCUUCCCCUGAAAAUACGGGGCUUAUUAUAAUUAUCUCUAUAUUCUUAAAACGCACCGUGGCCUCAGUUCGCCUGUUUGAAAAGCCUCUCGUGGAAGUUGCUGGGAUUAUAUUGGACUGUUUUGUGAUGCGAGUGAUAGUUGUACACGACUUCUGCGUCUAGAACGGGAGUCACCCAUGAAAACAAGCCUCACGUUCUCUAGUCACCCAUGAAAACCAGGCUCACGUUCUCUAGUCACCCAUGAAAACAAGCCUCACGUUCUCUAGUCACCCAUGAAAACAAGCCUCACGUUCUCUAGUCACCCAUGAAAACAAGCCUCACGUUCUCUAGUCACCCAUGAAAACAAGCCUCACGUUCUCUAGUCACCCAUGAAAACUAGGCUCAUCUUCUCUGUGGCCUUGGGAAACAGUCGUAGAGGGAGCCGAUGUAGUAUCCCUGAGUACGAUAAUGAUUUUAAUUGACACGACAGUCGAAUCAUCUAUGGUAUCGUUGAUUUAUUCUUUCCACUCGUCUAGAAUAUAUUGGUUUUAGAUGAGAAGUUUGAUUGGAUACUGUCAUUUGUGGGAGGAUGACAACUUGUAGGCAGAAACAAAUGAAUAAAUACAAUAAUAAAUGACGAAGAGAUGGUGUUAGGCUAUGCUGAUGAAGACGGAGAAGAUUGAGGAGGAGGAAGAUUGAUUGAAUACUGUUAUUUGUGGGAGGAUGACAACUUGUAGGCAGAAACAAAUAAAUAAAUACAAUAAUAAAUGACGAAGAGAUGGUGUUAGGCUAUGAUGAUGAAGAAAACGAGAAGAAGAGAAGAUUGAGGAGGAGGAAGAAGGGUUAGGCUAUGAUGAUGAAGGGGAAGAGAAGGAGGAGGAGGAAGAAGGGAAGGAACAACAAUCUGAGAAGAAGAGAUGGUGUUAGGCCAUGAUGAUGAAGAAGACGAGAAGGGGAAGAGAAGAUUGAGGAGGACGAAGAAGGGUUAGGCUUUGAUGAUGAAGAAGGGGAAGAGAAGAAUGAGGAGGUGGAAGAAGGGAAAGAACAACAGUCUGAGAAGAGGAAGAGAUAAGAGGACGAGAAGAAGGGAAGAAAGAGGAGGAGGAAGAAGGGAAGGAACAACAAGUCUGACAAGAGGAAGAGAACAGGCCCCUUUGCUACCCUUCCUUCCCUUCCCAUUCGUUCCCGCAAGGCCACGGAGGGUAAGGAUGAUAAAUAUAAGCGUUCCCUCAGUGCCAGAGUUUAGCAAGGUGCCCCGCGACGCUAUUACGCAUCCUUGGCGGCCAAAAUAACUUCACCUUGACGACGCAGCGUACAGUUAAAAUAGAUUACCUGUUGAGUACGCAGGUAGAGUAUACGAGGCUAUCUUUUUGGCUUGGCAUACACUGAAAUGGAUUGACUUUCUUGAAUUGGCAGUUUAUUAUUAUUAUCAUUAUUAAUAUUAUUUUUUUUUACAGCAUGGGAGGCAACUCAAGGGUAUACAACAACAACAACAACGACGACAACAACAACAACAACAACAACAACAACAACAACAACAACAACAACAACAAGAAAACGAUAUAAUGUAGGUCUAAUAUUCUUGGUUGAUACACUUGAAAUGAAUUGACUAUCUUGAAUUCGCAUUUUAUUUAUUUAUUUAUUUAUUUUUUACAGUAAGGGAAGCAACUCAAAGGUAAACAACAACAACAACAACAACAACAACAACAAAACGAUAUAAUGUAGGUCUAAUAUUCUUGGUUGAUACACUUGAAAUGAAUUGACUAUCUUGAAUUCGCAUUUUAUUUAUUUAUUUAUUUAUUUUUUACAGUAAGGGAAGCAACUCAAAGGUAAACAACAACAACAACAACAACAACAACAACAACAACAACAACAAGAAAACGAUAUAAUGUAGGUCUAAUAUUCUUGGUUGAUACACUUGAAAUGAAUUGACUAUCUUGAAUUCGCAUUUUAUUUAUUUAUUUAUUUAUUUUUUACAGUUAGGGAAGCAACUCAAGGGUAAACACCAACAACAACAACAACAACAACAACAACAAGAAAACGAUAUAAUGUAGGUCUAAUAUUCUUGGUUGAUACACUUGAAAUGAAUUGACUAUCUUGAAUUCGCAUUUUAUUUAUUUAUUUAUUUAUUUUUUACAGUAAGGGAAGCAACUCAAAGGUAAACAACAACAACAACAACAACAACAAAACGAUAUAAUGUAGGUCUAAUAGUCUUCUAGAAUUCACUUUUUUUUUUCUUUUUUUUUUACAGUAAGGGAGGCAGCUCAAGGGCAAAAAAUACUAUACAAAACAAAACAAAAUCGCUAUUCCUAGUUAAUACACUUGGAAUAUGUUAGCUUUCUUGAAUACGCUGUUGGGAUAUCGGUUUAAUAUUCCUGGUUAAUAUACUGAAUCGGACUGACUUUCUUAAAUACGCCGUUGAAUAAAGGUUUAAUAUUCCUGGUUAAUACACUGAAUCGGACUGACUUUCUUAAAUACGCCGUUGAAUAAAGGUUUAAUAUUCCUGGUUAAUACACUGAAACGGACUAACUUUCUUAAAUACGCCGUUGAAUAAAGGUUUAAUAUUCCUGGUUAAUACACUGAAACGGACUAACUUUCUUAAAUACGCCGUUGAAUAAAGGUUUAAUAUUCCUGGUUAAUACACUGAAACGGACUAACUUUCUUAAAUACGCCGUUGAAUAAAGGUUUAAUAUUCCUGGUUAAUACACUGAAACGGACUAACUUUCUUAAAUACGCCGUUGAAUAAAGGUUUAAUAUUCCUGGUUAAUACACUGAAACGGACUAACUUUCUUAAAUACGCCGUUGAAAUGUAUAAAGGUUUAAUAUUCCUGGUUAAAACACUAAAACGGACUAACUUUCUUAAAUACGCCGUUGAAAUGUAUAAAGGUUUGAUAUUCCUGGUUAAAACACUAAAACGGACUGACUUUCUUAAAUACGCCGUUGAAAUGUAUAAAGGUUUGAUAUUCCUGGUUAAAACACUAAAACGGACUGACUUUCUUAAAUACGCCGUUGAAAUGUAUAAAGGUUUAAUAUUCCUGGUUAAAACACUAAAACGGACUGCCUUUCUGGUAUACGCUGUGAAUAUAAAAGCUAAUCAUCUCAUCAGGUACAAUUGAAAUGGUUAAAUUAUCCUCAAAUUAAUAAAAAAAAAAUAUAAUACAAUACUUUUCUUCGUAUAUGGGCUUGAGAUAGAUAGAUAGAUAGAUAGAUAACGAGACAUAAUUAUCUUUCUUGACUUCGUAGUUAAAUAUAAGAUGCCAAACAGAUUACCUGGCCACACAACACUAGUAAAAAGAGGUCUUCCUGAAUAGUUGGUUAAAAUUAGAGUGGUACAUUAGUUACCCUUCUCAGUUAAAUAUAAGAUGCCAAACAGAUUACCCGGCCACACAACACUAGUAAAAAGAGGUCUUCCUGAAUAGUUGGUUAAAAUUAGAGUGGUACAUUAGUUACCCUUCUCAGUUAAAUAUAAGAUGCCAAACAGAUUACCUGGCCAGACAACACUAAUAAAAAGAGGUCUUCCUGAAUAGUUGGUUAAAAUUAGAGUAAUCCAUUAGUUACCCUUCUCAGUUAAAUAUAAGAUGCCAAACAGAUUACCUGGCCACACAACACUAAUAAAAAGAGGUCUUCCUGAAUACCCGGUUAAAAUUAGAGUAAUCCAUUAGUUACCCUUCUCAGUUAAAUAUAAGAUGCCAAACAGAUUACCCGGCCACACAACACUAGUAAAAAGAGGUCUUCCUGAAUAGUUGGUUAAAAUUAGAGUGGUACAUUAGUUACCCUUCUCAGUUAAAUAUAAGAUGCCAAACAGAUUACCCGGCCACACAACACUAGUAAAAAGAGGUCUUCCUGAAUAGUUGGUUAAAAUUAGAGUAAUCCAUUAGUUACCCUUCUCAGUUAAAUAUAAGAUGCCAAACAGAUUACCUGGCCAGACAACACUAAUAAAAAGAGGUCUUCCUGAAUACCCGGUUAAAAUUAGAGUAAUCCAUUAGUUACCCUUCUCAGUUAAAUACAAGAUGCCAAACAGAUUACCUGGCCACACAACACUAAUAAAAAGAGGUCUUCCUGAAUACCCGGUUAAAAUUAGAGUAAUCCAUUAGUUACCCUUCGCAGUUAAAUAUAAGAUGCCAAACAGAUUACCUGGCCACACAACACUAAUAAAAAGAGGUCUUCCUGAAUACCCGGUUAAAAUUAGAGUAAUCCAUUAGUUACCCUUCUCAGUUAAAUACAAGAUGCCAAACAGAUUACCUGGCCAGACAACACUAGUAAAAAGAGGUCUUCCUGAAUAGUUGGUUAAAAUUAGAGUGGUACAUUAGUUACCCUUCGCAGUUAAAUAUAAGAUGCCAAACAGAUUACCUGGCCAGACAACACUAAUAAAAAAAGGUCUUCCUGAAUAGUUGGUUAAAAUUAGAGUAAUCCAUUAGUUACCCUUCGCAGUUAAAUAUAAGAUGCCAAACAGAUUACCUGGCCACACAACACUAAUAAAAAGAGGUCUUCCUGAUUAGUUGGUUAAAAUUAGAGUAAUCCAUUAGUUACCCUUCUCAGUUAAUGGCGUUGUUAAUCUCUGUAUUCACCGCGACAUCCGUCACACCCACGAAUACCUGUUACACCCUUGCCCUUAAGAGUUUUUUUAGGGGGGGGGAGGAGGUUAUAGAGUUAGUGUAUCUACGCCGCAGCCUGCACCCCCCCCCCCCCCUCCCCUAUCCCCCGACGAUCUUCCUGGGGUAUGAUGGGAGACUAAUGAAUAAUAAUAAUAAUGAUGAUGAUGAGGAGGAGGAGGAAGAGGAUAAGAAGAUGAUAAUAAUAACGAAAUAGAAACACCAACUAUGAGAAAAUAACGUAACACACACACACACACACACACACACACACACACACACACACGUGACAAACAUAAACAUUAACUGGAGUAGAAGGACGAAAGGAAGAAAGAAAGAAAGAAAGAAAGGAAGAAAGAAAGAAAGAAAGAAAGAAAGAAAGAAAGAAAGGAAGGAAGGAAGGAAGGAAGGAAGGAAGGAAGGAAGAAACAAACAAAGAAAGAAAGAAAGGAAGGAAGGAAGGAAAGACAAGAUUAAAAAUAUAUAUGUUACCCAGGGCAAAGGAACAGGAAAGGAAGAAGGAAAAAAGAGAAGCAAAAGAAGGCGAGUAUAUGUAGCCUGAGGGAAAAGGAAAAGGAAGCAAGGAAGAACAGAAAACAGCAAAUAAAGGAGAGAUAGAAGGAAUAAAAGAAAAAUAGAUGUGGAACUCAGAACAAGGAAAUAAAUGAAGGAAGGAAAAAAUAAGGAAAAACAAGGU